UACGUAGGGGGCGAGCGUUGUCCGGAAUUAUUGGGCGUAAAGCGCGUGUAGGCGGCUUGGUAAGUCUGGUGUGAAAUCUUGAGGCUCAACCUCAAACGUGCAUCGGAUACUGCCUCGCUCGAGUUCGGGAGGGGAGAGCGGAACUCCUAGUGUAGCGGUGGAAUGCGCAGAGAUUAGGAAGAACACCCGUGGCGAAAGCGGCUCUCUGGAACGAUACUGACGCUGAGACGCGAAAGCGUGGGGAGCGAACAGG
rnacentral:rRNA from 1 species